UCUCUCAGUUAUAGGUUCAAUUCCUAUCUCGCUA
rnacentral:tRNA from 1 species